GGGCCCUAGCUCAGAUGUAGAACAUCUGCCUUGAAUGCAGAAGGCCCCAGGUUCAGUCUCUGGCAUCUCCA